GACGGAGGGUGCAAGCGUUGCUCGGAAUCACUGGGCGUAAAGGGUGCGUAGGCGGCCUUUCAAGUCUGGCGUGAAAGCCCAGGGCUCAGCCCUGGAAGUGCGCUAGAAACGGGAAGGCUUGAGUGUCGGAGGGGAGAGUGGAAUUCCUGGUGUAGCGGUGAAAUGCGUAGAUAUCAGGAGGAAUACCGGUGGCAAAAGCGACUCUCUGGACGACAACUGACGCUGAGGCACGAAAGCGUGGGGAGCAAACAGG
rnacentral:misc_RNA from 1 species